ensembl:lncRNA
AUUGUGGUGAAUGAUCCCAAAUAAACUACAAUAAGUCUGAAUAAAUAGAGAGGAAAUGGGAAGAAGGGGAUGGAGGAAGAAAGAGAGAUGGAGAAAGAGGAUGGAGAAAGAGAGGUGUAGAGAGAGAUGAAAGGUAUAGAGAGAGAGGUGUAGAAAGAGAGAUGAAAGAGAGGGAGAAAGGUGUAGAGAGAGAGGUGUAGAAAGAGAGAUGAAAGAGAGGGAGAAAGGUGUAGAGAGAGGUGUAGAGAGAGGUGUAGAAAGAGAGAUGAAAGAGAGGGAGAAAGGUGUAGAGAGAGAGGUGUAGAGAGCGAGAUGAAAGAGAGGGAGAAAGGUGUAGAGAGAGGUGUAGAGAGAGGUGUAGAAAGAGAGAUGAAAGAGAGAGGGAGAAAGGUAUAGAAAGAGCAGGUUGAGAGAAAAUGAGUUCUGUCACUUAAUCUCUGUGACCACACUCUUUAUUUCAUAAAAGCAUUGAAUAUAAUGAAUAUUUUAUUGGGUCUCCGUACCGCAUUGAAAUCAUCCCUGAGCUUCUUCACUCUUAUCAUGUCUG